GCUACACAUGCAAGUCGAGCGAGGACUUCGGUCCUAGCGGCGGACGGGUGAGUAACACGUGGGAACGUACCCUUUGCUUCGGAAUAGCCCCGGGAAACUGGGAGUAAUACCGAAUGUGCUCGAGAGAGGAAAGAUUUAUCGGCAAAGGAUCGGCCCGCGUUGGAUUAGGUAGUUGGUGGGGUAAUGGCCUACCAAGCCGACGAUCCAUAGCUGGUUUGAGAGGAUGAUCAGCCACACUGGGACUGAGACACGGCCCAGACUCCUACGGGAGGCAGCAGUGGGGAAUCUUAGACAAUGGGCGCAAGCCUGAUCUAGCCAUGCCGCGUGAGCGAUGAAGGCCUUAGGGUUGUAAAGCUCUUUCAGCGAGGAAGAUAAUGACUGUACUCGCAGAAGAAGCCCCGGCUAACUCCGUGCCAGCAGCCGCGGUAAUACGGAGGGGGCUAGCGUUGUUCGGAAUUACUGGGCGUAAAGCGCACGUAGGCGGAUCAGAAAGUCAGAGGUGAAAUCCCAGGGCUCAACCUUGGAACUGCCUUUGAAACUCCUGAUCUUGAGUUCGAGAGAGGUGAGUGGAAUUCCGAGUGUAGAGGUGAAAUUCGUAGAUAUUCGGAGGAACACCAGUG
rnacentral:rRNA from 1 species